GACGUACGCUGGCGGCGUGCUUAACACAUGCAAGUCGAACGGAAAGGCCCUGCUUUUGUGGGGUGCUCGAGUGGCGAACGGGUGAGUAACACGUGAGUAACCUGCCCUUGACUUUGGGAUAACUUCAGGAAACUGGGGCUAAUACCGGAUAGGAGCUCCUGCUGCAUGGUGGGGGUUGGAAAGUUUCGGCGGUUGGGGAUGGACUCGCGGCUUAUCAGCUUGUUGGUGGGGUAGUGGCUUACCAAGGCUUUGACGGGUAGCCGGCCUGAGAGGGUGACCGGCCACAUUGGGACUGAGAUACGGCACAGACUCGUACGGGAGGCAGCAGGGGGGAAUAUUGCACAAUGGGCGGAAGCCUGAUGCAGCAACGCCGCGUGCGGGAUGACGGCCUUCGGGUUGUAAACCGCUUUCGCCUGUGACGAAGCGUGAGUGACGGUAAUGGGUAAAGAAGCACCGGCUAACUACGUG
rnacentral:rRNA from 1 species